UCCUACGGGAGGCAGCAGUGAGGAAUAUUGCGCAAUGAGCGAAAGCUUGACGCAGCGACACCGCGUGCGGGAUGAAGGCCUUAGGGUUGUAAACCGCUUUCGGCAGGGACGAAGCGAAAGUGACGGUACCUGCAGAAGCAGCCACGGCUAACUUCGUGCCAGCAGCCGCGGUA
rnacentral:rRNA from 1 species